rnacentral:rRNA from 1 species
UUGACCUCAAAUCAGGUAGGACUACCCGCUGAACUUAAGCAUAUCAAUAAGCGGAGGAAAAGAAACUAACAAGGAUUCCCCUAGUAACUGCGAGUGAAGCGGGAUGAGCUCAAAUUUCGAAUCUGGCGGUCUUCAGGCCGUCCGAGUUGUAAUCUAGAGAAGCGUCUUCCGCGCUGGACCGUGUACAAGUCUCCUGGAAGGGAGCGUCGUAGAGGGUGAGAAUCCCGUCUUUGACACGGACUGCCAGUGCUAUGUGAUGCGCUCUCGACGAGUCGAGUUGUUUGGGAAUGCAGCUCAAAUCGGGUGGUAAACUCCAUCUAAAGCUAAAUAUUGGCGAGAGACCGAUAGCGA